AGGACGAACGCUGGCGGCGUGCUUAACACAUGCAGGUCGAGCGGAAAGGCCCUUCGGGGUACUCGAGCGGCGAACGGGUGAGUAACACGUGAGCAACCUGCCCUUAGCUCUGGGAUAGCUCCGGGAAACCGGAAUUAAUACCGGAUACGACCUAGGCCGACAUCGGCCGUGGUGGAAAGUUUUUCGGCUAGGGAUGGACUCGCGGCCUAUCAGCUAGUUGGUGGGGUAAAGGCCUACCAAGGCGACGACGGGUAGCC
rnacentral:rRNA from 1 species